CCUACGGGAUGCAGCAGUGGGGAAUAUUGCACAAUGGGCGCCAGCCUGAUGCAGCCAUGCCGCGUGUGUGAAGAAGGCCUUCGGGUUGUAAAGCACUUUCAGCGGGGAGGAAGGCGAUAAGGUUAAUAACCUUGUCGAUUGACGUUACCCGCAGAAGAAGCACCGGCUAACUCCGUGCCAGCAGCCGCGGUAAUACGGAGGGUGCAAGCGUUAAUCGGAAUUACUGGGCGUAAAGCGCACGCGGGCGGUCUGUCAAGACGGAUGUGAAAUCCCCGGGCUCAACCUGGGGGCUGCAUUCGAAACUGGCAGGCUAGAGUCUUGUAGGGGGGGGUAGAAUUACAGGUGUAGCGGUGAAAUGCGUAGAGAUCUGGAGGAAUACCGGUGGCGAAGGCGGCCCCCUGGACAAAGACUGACGCUCAGGUGCGAAAGCGUGGGGAGCAAACAGGAUUAGAUACCCGGGUAGUC
rnacentral:rRNA from 1 species